rnacentral:rRNA from 1 species
AUUGAACGCAGGCGGCAUGCCUUACACAUGCAAGUCGAACGGUAACGGGCCUUCGGGUGCCGACGAGUGGCGAACGGGUGAGUAAUACAUCGGAACGUGCCCUUGAGUGGGGGAUAACUAUCCGAAAGGAUAGCUAAUACCGCAUAUUCUGUGCGCAGGAAAGCAGGGGAUCUUAGGACCUUGCGCUCUUGGAGCGGCCGAUGUCAGAUUAGCUAGUUGGUGGGGUAAAGGCCCACCAAGGCGACGAUCUGUAGCGGGUCUGAGAGGAUGAUCCGCCACACUGGGACUGAGACACGGCCCAGACUCCUACGGGAGGCAGCAGUGGGGAAUUUUGGACAAUGGGGGCAACCCUGAUCCAGCCAUGCCGCGUGAGUGAAGAAGGCCUUCGGGUUGUAAAGCUCUUUCGGCCGGGAAGAAAUCGUGCGGGCUAAUAUCCCGCAUGGAUGACGGUACCGGACUAAGAAGCACCGGCUAACUACGUGCCAGCAGCCGCCGUAAAAC